rnacentral:sRNA from 1 species
GCCAGGCGUGGUGGCCCAUGACUGUAAUCCCAGCAACUAAGGAGGCUGAGGCAGGAGGAUCGUGAGUGCAAAGCCAGCCUUAUCGAGACCCUAAGCAACUCAGCAAGACCCUGUCUCAA